UGCUUUCCUUGGCUUCAUUGUCCACUGGCUUCAUAAGGUUGACUGGAAGUUAUGGUUAUAGAUAGCUUGCGUCCACUUUAGCACGACGCGUGCAGCUGCGGCGCAUCUGCUCCACGAAUUCCCACAAUACUAGCAGCCCUCGAUAAAGAAACUCUGCGCAGCUGCUUGAACUGGCUGGAUAGGCGUCCCUCUUGCUUGGUCAAGGUCCGCGGUCCGUAGUCGUCCACCGAACAGAUAAGGAGAAGCAGUCACAACACUUCGUGGCAUUCUGUACCAGAUAAGGCUGUACUCCUCGAAUACCAGGUCUUCUACUAAAGAAAAAGUUGAGUAAGACAACCGCGGUUCUCGAGGUGGGUGAUUUCCUUAUUCCAGGUAGCCAUGGCUUGCAGCUGAUGCCAGAGCCCUGUCCACCAGUCGGAGCUGGUCCUCAGGGUUUAGUGACGUCAGCAACGCCUCCCACUGGUCUUCCGGAUUUUCUUAGAUGCUCUGUUCGUCUAUGGGCGGGAUACUUGGGUUGUUUCGGCAUCCCCAUACCAUGUGGUAAAGGGUGUUAGCACUCUCCGGACAGUACUUCAGCAGCGUUAUCGGAAGAAAAUUAAUAAUAAAGGAGUUCUAAUGCUCACAUAUAACGUACUUAGCCUCCUUGCCAAUGUGAAUUACGCAUUAACGUAAAUAUUGAAGAGCAGAGGCCCUAAGAGACUGCCUUGUGGCAGGGGCGU